GAUGAACGCUAGCGGGAGGCUUAAUACAUGCAAGUCGAGGGGUAUAUAUCUUUCGGGAUAUAGAGACCGGCGCACGGGUGCGUAACGCGUAUGCAACCUGCCUUAAACUGGGGGAUAGCCCGGAGAAAUCCGGAUUAAUACCCCAUAAUAUAAUUAUAUCGCAUGGUACUGAUUAUUAAAGAUUUAUUGGUUUAAGAUGGGCAUGCGUUAGAUUAGCUAGUUGGUAAGGUAAAGGCUUACCAAGGCUACGAUCUAUAGCGGGUCUGAGAGGAUGAUCCGCCACACUGGUACUGAGACACGGACCAGACUCCUACGGGAGGCAGCAGUAGGGAAUAUUGGACAAUGGACGAGAGUCUGAUCCAGCCAUCCCGCGUGCAGGAAGACGGCCCUCUGGGUUGUAAACUGCUUUUAUAAAGGAAGAAAAAGAGUUAUGCGUAACUCACUGACGGUACUUUAUGAAUAAGCACCGGCUAACUCCG
rnacentral:rRNA from 1 species